UAACUGUUUACAUUAUAAACAUAAUAACUUUUUGUAAACGCAAUACCUCUUGAUUUGUCUUAAAUCUCUGUUGCAUUUGCUUUUUCUCGACUGACUGAUGUAAAAAAAUGAAUUGCUCACCAGAACUGUUAUACAAUCCUGAACCGAAAGCUGAAAUCACAAACAGUUACAGAUGUGAUUACCUCUUCUGGAACCGCUCGGAUAUUGGUGAAACCUUUUCGGAAAACGACAAACACCUUCUUGGCUCCACAUCUAAGCGCGGAAGUGGCGCAAUCGAAAGCGGUGUCUCCUGCACCGAGGACGAUUACGUUGCCACGGAGAGAUGGCAGUUCCUGAUAACUUUUGCAAGCACACAUUCCCAGUUUGCUGCUUUUUGCAACGGCAGAUCCCUGACGAGAUCCACCUCAAAAUUGACGACAUCAUACGGAAGUCUGUACUGCGGUAUUUCGGAAGAGCUUAAUCCGCCGAUGUACUUUUCCUUCUCGAAGAUAGUAAUAUCAUCGUAGCCAAGUCGAGCGAGAAACGUUGCGCAGGAAAGAGAGGCUGGCCCACAACCGAGCAGAGCGAUCUUCGUAUUUGCAUGAGAUACCGUUUGAUUAGAUCCAGAAUCACUCAAAGGCAAUAAUCAUUAAGUCCCUCCUCCGUCGCGUAGAGAUUGCAUCCGCCCACGCAAAGGUCGCUGGUCGGGCAAACCAUGCCGCAGGUGAGACCAAGUGGGUUGUCCGAGAGAAUCGCCUUAGCCGCG